rfam:Salmo salar isolate Sally breed double haploid chromosome ssa24, whole genome shotgun sequence.
AAACAGGCUCUUUUAAGAGUCACCCAUAUUGAAAAAAUGUUGAAC